UUUGGCAUUUGGCAUCGACGCCAUGGUCAUUUGAAUGCUAAGAGAAUGAAGGAGCUCCAAUCCAUAGUAAGUGGCUUAGAUCUCGGUCAUAUAAGCCAUAAUGCUAUGAUACUUGCUUGUGAAGGUUGUAUUCAAGGCAAACAACAUAGGGCGUCAUUUCCAAAUGGAGUUGCAACAUGUUGUCGUACUGUAAAUGCUUACAAUAUAUAAAAAUUAAUUAAAACAUAUUAUAUGUUGAUAAAUCUAGAUAUGUAUUAGAUUGGCUAAUAGAUUAAAUUAAAAGGAUUUGGUAUAA
rnacentral:lncRNA from 1 species